rnacentral:rRNA from 1 species
UUGAUGGAGAGUUUGAUUCUGGCUCAGAACGAACGCUGGCGGCGUGGAUAAGACAUGCAAGUCGAACGAGAGAAUUGCUAGCUUGCUAAUAAUUCUCUAGUGGCGCACGGGUGAGUAACACGUGAGUAACCUGCCCCGAGAGCGGGAUAGCCCUGGGAAACUGGGAUUAAUACCGCAUAGUAUCGAAAGAUUAAAGCAGCAAUGCGCUUGGGGAUGGGCUCGCGGCCUAUUAGUUAGUUGGUGAGGUAACGGCUCACCAAGGCGAUGACGGGUAGCCGGUCUGAGAGGAUGUCCGGCCACACUGGAACUGAGACACGGUCCAGACACCUACGGGUGGCAGCAGUCGAGAAUCAUUCACAAUGGGGGAAACCCUGAUGGUGCGACGCCGCGUGGGGGAAUGAAGGUCUUCGGAUUGUAAACCCCUGUCAUGUGGGAGCAAAUUAAAAAGAUAGUACCACAAGAGGAAGAGACGGCUAACUCUGUGCCAGCAGCCGCGGUAAUACAGAGGUCUCAAGCGUUGUUCGGAAUCACUGGGCGUAAAGCGUGCGUAGGCUGUUUCGUAAGUCGUGUGUGAAAGGCGCGGGCUCAACCCGCGGACGGCACAUGAUACUGCGAGACUAGAGUAAUGGAGGGGGAACCGGAAUUCUCGGUGUAGCAGUGAAAUGCGUAGAUAUCGAGAGGAACACUCGUGGCGAAGGCGGGUUCCUGGACAUUAACUGACGCUGAGGCACGAAGGCCAGGGGAGCGAAAGGGAUUAGAUACCCCUGUAGUCCUGGCAGUAAACGGUGCACGCUUGGUGUGCGGGGAAUCGACCCCCUGCGUGCCGGAGCUAACGCGUUAAGCGUGCCGCCUGGGGAGUACGGUCGCAAGAUUAAAACUCAAAGAAAUUGACGGGGACCCGCACAAGCGGUGGAGUAUGUGGCUUAAUUCGAUGCAACGCGAAGAACCUUACCUGGGCUUGACAUGUAAUGAACAACAUGUGAAAGCAUGCGACUCUUCGGAGGCGUUACACAGGUGCUGCAUGGCCGUCGUCAGCUCGUGUCGUGAGAUGUUUGGUUAAGUCCAGCAACGAGCGCAACCCCUGUUGCCAGUUACCAGCACGUGAAGGUGGGGACUCUGGCGAGACUGCCCAGAUCAACUGGGAGGAAGGUGGGGACGACGUCAGGUCAGUAUGGCCCUUAUGCCCAGGGCUGCACACGUACUACAAUGCCCAGUACAGAGGGGGCCGAAGCCGCGAGGCGGAGGAAAUCCUGAAAACUGGGCCCAGUUCGGACUGUAGGCUGCAACCCGCCUACACGAAGCCGGAAUCGCUAGUAAUGGCGCAUCAGCUACGGCGCCGUGAAUACGUUCCCGGGUCUUGUACACACCGCCCGUCACAUCAUGGAAGCCGGUCGCACCCGAAGUAUCUGAAGCCAACCGCAAGGAGGCAGGGUCCUAAGGUGAGACUGGUAACUGGGAUGAAGUCGUAACAAGGUAGCCGUAGGGGAACCUGCGGCUGGAUCACCUCCUUU